rnacentral:lncRNA from 1 species
AGAUAAUGAACAGACUGAAAACCAUAGAAGAUAGUCUUAAAGAUUUAAAAACAAUAAAAGAAAUGGUUUGUAAUCUAAGAUAUUUCUGUAGUUUUUUUAUACAUGAAAAGAUGACCUAUGAUUUAUUUUCAACCUUUCAAACGAAUCGUUAUCGAAAAAACACUGUCCCUAUUUUAAAAAUGACUGAAUUAUUUCUAAACUUUACCAAAAGUAUGACGUAUACUACUGUUUGAUAGAUAAAUAGGUUUAUAUAUGAUAAGAAAUUCAAGGAAAAUCAAAUUAAAAAUUGUAGAUGCAUAUGAAUGUUUAAUAUUUAUAGUGAUCAAAGGUACCAGGCUUAUAAUUUUAUACGCCAGACCCGCGUUUCGUCUACAUAAGACUCACAAGUGACACUCAGAUCAAAAUAGUUAUCAAGCCAAAUAAAUACAAAGUUGAAGAGCGUAAUAUGUAUAACAUUUGUACUAAGUAUAAAGAUUAAAUAUUUUGUUUGUUUUAGUUAACAAGCACCAAUGCUUACGGCAACCGUGUUUGAAAACAGAAUAAAGAAAAUGAAAUGUAUUGUCGAACGGUAAGAACAUUUGUUUUAACGCAAAGUGUCGUAAGAUGGUCAGAUUUAAAAUAAUUAUAUUCAUUGCUUCAAAUUAACCUCCGCUAGCCAUGGGAACAACAUCUUAACAAGUAUAUUGACGAAUUGAUAAUUCUGAAUAGGUACAUGUAUAUUCCUCCUUUAGACAUUUUUGGUUUUCUUUCAUAAACACAUUCUCGUUAGUAAUAAGAAAUAUAUCAUUUUACAAAUUAAUGGAUCUUUGCUACUUCUUCAUUUUUAUUGGAAAUUAAACUAAGGUUUAUUUAGAUGUAGUUCUGAAUUUGUUUUAUUCUAACUCUCUUAUUAUCAAAUUUUUUUAAAUAAUAGAUGAUCUUCAAUAUAUGAAUAUGAAGCAAAUUCAAUCAGCGUUAUAUAACAGAAAACCACUAAAUGUACAUUUGUCGACAUGAAUUGUUAAAUAUUGAUAUGUUCACAUGUCUAGUCAGGAGACAACCAGUCAUCAGGUCCAUGGAAGAUUGUCCGCCUGUUCUUGUUUUGAUGACCUUUUGAAAAAUCAUGGUCACUUUCAUUACUCCAAAUAUAUCAAACUUCUUCGCAUAGCAUUCAAAAUGUCUCCUCAUUUAUAUUUAUGAUCAGCUUUUGACUUGAACGUUGAAGUCUUUAGAUCAAUAAAGGAAUCAUUAUGCCGCUGUUUUAUUAUUGAUGCAUACAUUUGUGACAUUCGAAAACGAUUCUUUUGGAGAGACCUUUUUCCUACUUGUAUUAUGGAGCUGUGUUAGAAAAGCAACCAUUUGAUAUGAUUCAUUUUACUUUCAGGUCGAUGAACAAAACACUUUAAACAAUAUUACCAUGAUAUUGUAAAUAUUCAAAUAAUUAGAGAUACAGAUCACAGAUGACCCAGAAUGCUUAAAUCACUUUUUAUAAGGAAUACACAAACAUUUUGUAAUUUCAUACUUGUGAUAUGGAUUUAUUAUUGUAGUGAUUAAAUAAUGUAGCAAACCAAAGUUAAAAUAUUCAUUUAUAUCAUUAUCAAUUUUACCUGUGACGUCAUUUGUGUGCGUCGAUCAUACAUUGCGUGGAUUGGCUGUGCUGUUUUUGUGUGCCGAACACGGUUGGUUUAUGUGUUCGUUUUUAUUCUUUGUUGACAUGUUUAUCAAUUAUAUGGAAAUUUUUAUGAAUUUACUGUUUGCAAAAAAAAUAAAUUAUUCUAAAUACUAAGGAAUUUCUUAUCCCAGGUAGAUAACCUUAGCCGUAUGUGGC